UCAUUACCACAUUUUCACUGAAGUAGCACACAUCUCUCUAGGCAGAGAAAUGAUGGGGUGAUUGCUGAUUAGCUUGCUGGGGCUGAAAGCUUCUGAGCGGCAAUGUCAAUAGCUCUAGUGCAUGGCCGUAAUGAGACUCCGAGCUCUCCCCUGACCUCAGGCUCCUGAUCCAGCUGCUGACCCCUGCUACAAUCACACCUCCAUUUUCUUUUCUUUCUGUGGACCCGGCUGCCGAGGAGGACUGCGUUCCACUGAGGUGUCCGUGAGAACAGAAAGUUAGCCAAGCUGCACUAGAGGUCAUCU
rnacentral:lncRNA from 1 species